CCUACGGGUGGCUGCAGUGGGGAAUAUUGCGCAAUGGGCGCAAGCCUGACGCAGCGACGCCGCGUGAGGGAUGAAGGUCUUCGGAUCGUAAACCUCUGUCAGCAGGGAAGAACGGUCACUGUGCUAAUCAGCAGUGCAUUGACGGUACCUGCAAAGGAAGCACCGGCUAACUCCGUGCCAGCAGCCGCGGUAAUACGGAGGGUGCGAGCGUUAAUCGGAAUUACUGGGCGUAAAGCGCUCGUAGGCGGUAUGUCAAGUCAAGGGUGAAAUCCCCGCGCUCAACGUGGGAACUGCCUUUGAUACUGGCAAGCUGGAGUGUGUGAGAGGAUAGUGGAAUUCCAGGUGUAGGAGUGAAAUGCGUAGAGAUCUGGAGGAACAUCAGUGGCGAAGGCGACUAUCUGGCAGAUAACUGACGCUGAGGAGCGAAAGCGUGGGUAGCAAACAGGAUUAGAUACCCGAGUAGUC
rnacentral:rRNA from 1 species